GAAAAUAUCAUGAGAGAAGUCAGCAUCAAUCGCCAAUAUUGUUUCUUCAUCAACUUGCUAACCUCUUAAACCUGAGAUAGAAAAAUCAGCCCACGCAGGGGCAUUGAAAUUUUCUUUGAAGCUUAAGAUUAACAAGAUUUUUUAGGACAAAGAAAAAAUAUUCAAACGAUAAGGUUGAGUGAGCCACACGACUUGGGGUUGUGAGAAAACUCAUCAAAAUUUUGAAAAUUACACCUAGCCUGACCUUAGCCUAUAAAUAUGUCCAAUCUUCUACAACUAUAGCAUAGAUUAGAAAGAAACGAUGGCAACAGUUUUGAUGGCAGUAGGUGGUGGAGGGGAAGUGGGCAUGAUGGCUUCGAGCUCUGGGGCUCUCUUUUUGCUUUGCAUGGUCGUUAUGUCCCUCUCAAUUCUUUCCAUGGUCAUAUUUGCUUGCGGUGAAUCUUCUAGUACUCCACAUCCCAAGAAAAGACACCAUGGUGGAGGAUUCCACCAUGGUGGAGGAUUCCACCAUGGUGGAGGAGUCCACCAUGGCGGUGGUUGUGGAGGGGGAGGUGGUGGUGGUGGUGGUGGUGGUGGUUGUGGAGGUGGCGGUGGUGGUGGUUGUGGAGGUGGAGGUGGAGGUGGAGGUUGCUGAAGAAAAAGCAAAAUAGUUUUUACUCAAAAUAUCCUACAAAUGUCAUAGAAUGGCCUUUUUCUUAUGAAAUAAACCUCAAAAUUAUUGUCUUCAAUGUUAGAAUCCAUGUGAGCAAGUCCUAGUAGAGGUCGAUGUAUUUGUUGAUAUUUUCUUUGCAUUGAACAUUAUUUAAUAAUAUAUAUAUGAUUGUCUUUAUCUUCUGUUUCCUUUUUAUAAAUAGCAUGAAUGUAAACGAGAUUUCAUCUUUUACAAAGUCCCUUUGACAACCGCAUGGUCCAAUACCAUUAAAAACUGUGGCAGCUUGAUAAGAUGGAUGGACUUCCUAGUUUUGAAAAUGAAUCAAUUUAACAAACCUUCAUCCCCAGUAUAUAGACAAGAGGAUCAAGACCUGAGAUUUUCUGUUCCUUAUCAUGAAAAGUCAGCAUCAACAGCCAUUGUUUCUUCAUAACUUGCCGACCUCUCAAGCUUGAGAUUAAAAAAUCAAAUUUUCUUUAAAGCUUCAGAUUGAGAUUAGCAAGAUGUCUUGAGGACAAAGGAAACUUGAGUGAGCCACACGGCUUGGAGUUGACAAAAAAAAUCAAAAUUUUAAAUAUGUCCCAUCUUCUACAACUGUAGUAGAAAUAAUGGCAAGAGGUUUGAUGGUAGAAGCCUAGAAGGCGGUGGAGGAGAAGUGGGUAUGAUGGCUUCAAACUCCCUUACAGGUUUGCAUGGUGGUUAAAGGUUUGAAAUUUCGGUGUAUGCCUAAUUAAAUUUUACGCGUAUAUAUAUAGAUGUAUCGAUCAAAUAAAAUUGAUUUAAAAUUUAUGAAAGUGUUUAAAAAAAAUAAUACAUAUAUUAAAAUUAUUUUAUAAAUAUAAUUAACAUAAAUAUAAUUAAAUAUAAUAUUUAUCAAAUUAUUAUAAAAAAAAAUUAGCUUUAAUAUUCAUUUAUUUAAAAAUUUUAAAAAUACUUUUAUUAAAAUAUGUUUUAUUACAUUUUAAAUAAAAAAUUAAAAUAUGUUUUAUUACAAUUUAAAUAAAAAAUUAAAUUGAUUUAUAUAAAAUAAUUUAUUUGAAAUUUAAUUUUUAAAAUUUCAUUAUAAAUAUGUCAUGAUAACUUUUCUAUUAACAUUAAUUUAUUUAAAUAAAAAAAAUUAUUAAUAAUUUAUCUUAUCAAAUUAAUAUCAGUUUAUAAAAUAUGAUUAUUUUAUUUUAUUUUUUAUAUUGUAGCAAUUUUUUUAAUAAAAUUAUAUUUUUAAUAUUUUAAAGUAAAAAUACUUAAAAUUAAAUAAAAUUAAAAGGAUAAAUAAAAAAAUUAAGAGUGAAGUGAUAGUAAUUUUUAAAAUAGAAUUAAUGAAAUAAAUAUGAAAAGUAGUUCAAACUAAAAAGAUAAUAUAAAAUAAAAUUUAAAAUAAAUAAUUUAAAAAUCAAAGAACUUGGUAAAUAUUAACAAAAAAAACUGGGGUUUUUUGAAAAGUCUCAAAAAUAAUUGCUAAAAAAUGAACAAUUGUUUUGGGAAAAAACUCUCCACGUGUGUUUUUCGGAAAAAAAUUAGUUUUUUUAGCGAAAUUUCAAUUUUUACUGAAAUAUCGGCUAUAUCGUCAUAUUUCCCCUUUUUUGGCGACAAAUCGUCUGAUCAUUAAUCGAUAAUUGAUUUCACUCUACCACCUCUGAUAUCUAAUUUCAUCGAUAUUUCAAUGAAAUAUCCCGAAAUUUCAAUCCUUAAUCCCUCUCAAUUCUAUCCAUGGUCAUAUUUGUUUGUCGUAGUCAUAGAGGAGGUGUAGGAGGAGGAGGCAGACAUGACGGAUCAUGGAGAUGGAGGAGUUGGUUUUGGAGGUGGAGGCAUUGAUCUUGGAGGUGGAGGCGGUGAUUAUGGAGGGGGAGAUUUGGGAGGUCUAGGCAUUAAUGUUGGAGGUGGAGGCAUCGGUUUUGGAGGUGGUGGCGGUGGUUGUGGAGGGGGAGGGGGUGGUGGUGGCUUUGGAGGUGGGGUUUUCUAUAGCAAAAGGAAAAUAGUUUUUACUCAUAAUGUCCUAUAAAUGUCAUAGCAUGACAUUUUUUAUAAAAUAAACCUUGAAAUUCUUGUGUCAUAGAGAUGAUAAUCUUGUCAAAAAAAAUAUGUAAAAGAAAAAAACUCUCAUAUUCAACUUGAUUCAUUGUUAGUCCAUGUGAGCAAGCCCGGUCGAGGUUGAUGUAUUUGAUGCAUUUGUUGAUAUUUUUUUUGUAUUGAAGCUUAUAAAUAGUAUAUAUCAUCUCUUAUUUUUUGUUUCCUUUUUAUAAAUAAUAUGAAUAUAAUAGAAGUUUUACCUUUUUUUUCCUAAGUUAAAUGUUUUAUACUAGUAAAAAAAACCGAUAAAUGUUCAAUCGGGCACAAAAUGACGAGAGCAAAUUUUAAGCAUUCCUAGAAGUGCUCAUAGACCAUUUAAUUUUUCCUAUUCCAAAAUUUUAGUUGGAUUAAUGUUAUGAUCCAAAUUAGAGAUGUGAUCUUUAAUUGGUUGUAUAUAUAUUUCACAUUACUUAUAAGAUAAGAUUAUCGAUCAUACUUUUAGUCAAGUUCUUCAAGACAAAAAUGGAGUCCUAGCAUUUUACAAACCAUUACUUUGAGUGUAUUAAUAAGAAGGUUUUGUUGAAGUAUAUAAAUUCAUUUUUGCCUCCAUUAAUGAUUAAUUAGUGGAGAACAUUCAUAAUGUUGAAUGAACACUAGCUUCUAAAUAUAUAUGCCAAAGAUCAAGUAUAAGGAGUUGAUUGUAAUUUUAAAAUCCUAGUUGGUUGGGUGUCAAACCACAAAAAAAUGAUUUUAGAUGUAUAGGAAAAACAAAGGUGUUGAAGAUAAGAAGACCCCUUAGACUCCCUUUUUCUCUCAUGGAUGCUCUCAAUUGGAAAACAAGCACAAUUUAAUUAAUUAAUCUAAUACUUCAAUUUAGGAGUUAAACCUUCUUGUGAAAUCCUUAAAGCCCUCACAACCCAUUUGUUUGCUAAAUUAAGAGCUCAAUAAUACAAGCACAAAGUCAAAAUAGCUCUCACAACUACCCUCAAAAGGACCCCUAAACUCCAAUUUUAAAGUAUCAAGACAUGAUAUUCUAAUUAAAAAUGGAGACAUUCAACUUACAAGUUGAAUAAAUCAUUAAUUAUCUAAGAUUUGAUGAUUAUUUCAUGGGCACAAGGGAGGUCUUAAAGACCCCCUUCUGUCCAGCCUAAAGCGCUCCUCAAAAGAUAUGAAAAUGGAAUGAAAAUGAAGACUAAAAAAAAAAAGCACAGGGAAACCAUUAUUAAAAACUAAGAUUAAAGUUCAAUAUUAUAUUAAACUAAAACUUAAAAAUAAGUGCAUCUAAGUAUAAUCAAUGGAAAGAAGCUUGAGAGAUUACAAAACAAUUAAAAGGAGCAAAAACGUGAUAAAAAUUGAAGUUAUAGCAAGUCCCAAGCUUGGAGGGUUGAAAAAGAGCUCCCACCAAGGGGCCUCCUCCAAAAUCCAUUUUUCAACUACAAAAUCUCUUUAAAUAGUACAAUGUGAGUGCAUUGAAAACAAGAUAGGAGAUCUAACGGUGGCUUGGAAAAAGUCCAAAAAUAUGAGUCCCACACAUUCUUGGAGUUCUAGAACAAAUUAACGACAGUGCUACCUUCUAUUUAGCCUAAAGCGCUACUCAAAAGAUAUGAAAAUGGAAUGAAAAUAAAAACCCUAAAAAAAAAAAGAAAAAACACAAUGAAAUCAUUAUUAAAAACUAAGAUUAAAGUUCAAUAUUAUAUUACACCAAAACUUAAAAAUAAGUGCAUCUAAGUAUAAUCAAUGGAAAGAAGCUUGAGAGAUUACAAAACAAUUAAAAGGAGCAAAACAUGAUAAAAAUUGAAGUUAUAGCAAGUCCCAAGCUUGGAGGGUUGAAAAAGAGCUCCCACCAAGGGGCCUCCUCCAAAAUCCAUUUUUCAACUACGAAAUCUCUUUAAAUAAUACCAUGUGAGUGCAUUGAAAACAAGAUAGGAGAUCUAAUGGUGGCUUUGAAAAAGUCCAAAAAUAUGGGUCCCACAUGUUCUUGGAGUUCUAGACCAAAUUAACGACGGUGCUAGAGAAAAUGGCACCAAUUUAUAAAGGGGGGCCAUCUUGGUGAUAUUUUUCUAGUAGGUAGGCUUCUUUAUGGCACAACGGUAGAGAGGAAAUGGUGCUAGGGAAAGCUUUCAACUCCUUUAGUACUUUUCUUAUUUUUCACCAAUAUUUUUUUAUUUUUUCACAAGGGUAAACAAUGUCCAAAUCUUCUAAAAUUUGGUGAAAUUGCUUUUCAAAAAGUCUAAAAUUUAAUAAAAUUCACCUAAACUCAUUUUCUAUUGAUCAAAUUUUGUUAGAUUAUAGAGAAAUCCGGAUUUUGUUAGGUUACUAAAAUGACUAAGGGGGGAAAAAGUAUGAAUGAAUCUAGAAUUUUCUAUUUGAUUUAUGCUUGAGAAUAUAAAAAAAAAUCAAAUAUAAUGAAAAUCAUCUAGAGACUUUGCUCUUUAUACGACAAAAAAAAGACGAAGAAUAAAUUUUAAAAAGUAAGAAAUUUUUUCUUUCAAGUUUAAAUCAAUUUUAGUUUUUCUUCACUUUUUCUCUUCUUAAUUAAUCUUCUUUCCUUUAUUUUCUUUUUUCUAAUAUAUAGUUUUUUUCAAACUUUCCAAAACAAAAUUACUCCUGAAAUGAAAUUUGGAGGGCAUCAAAAUUGAAAAAAUUACACAAGUAUAACAUGAGAUCUUACAUUAGCUUACUAAUGUGCCUACUUUUUUAUAUAUUUUUUAUAUAUGUAAAUAGGUAGGGAAGAAAAUGAUAAAAAUAUUUCUAUUACAUGCACUUGUAAAGAAAAAAGUGAUUGUUUAAGGGGAAAAAUCCUUUAAAAAAAAAAUAGAAAAUACUAAAUAUUUUCUCCCAUUUUAAUUUUAAAAAAACACACUUAGGAGAAGUUUGGAAAAAAAAAUACUUUUUAAAUAAUUUAAUUUAUUUAAAUUUUUCCAUAUAUAAUAUCUUACUUCUCUAUUUUCUUUCCUUUAAACUUUUUAAAAACCAACCAUAACAUAAAGGAUCAUACUUUAUAUUGUCUUAUAAAUACAUGAGAAAGAAUAUUAAUGACUGCAUUAAGUGUUUAUCAACUUUAUGGAAUUAUUGUUAUAUGGAUUAGCUUGAAAGCGUUCAUUUGUAAGCACUUUAGUUUUUCUUGUUGCCAACAAACCCUAAUAUCUAUUUUUAUCCUUAAUUUUUUUUUAUGCCAAAAAGUGGGGGUUUUUUCUAAGGUUUUAAGUCAUUUCACAAUAAGACAAGCGAAAAAUACAUCCAAAGGUAAAAUACUUUUCAUUAAAAAAUUCUUGGUUGUAUAAGAAAAACCGUAAGUCCUAAUUUUUGUUGUUGGCUAGUUAUACUUGGGCUAUAUUUGAAUUCAAGAAAGUAUUAAAAAUAGAAGAAGAAAUGUAGGUAGGAAUUUGAAAACCAUAAAUAAAAUAAAAAAUAAGAAAAUUUAAUUAUAAAUUCAUACUUUUUUUAAUUCUCAUGACUUAAAAUAUUUAUAGAGAUAUUCUUAUUAAUUUUCCUUCGAUAAAAAAACACCUAAUAUUAUAAUUACAUAUAAAUAUAAGAAAUAUUUUAAAUGAUAUUCUUUAAAAAAUGAAUUUAUAUUAAUUAAAAAUUUGACAAUUAAUUUCCCAUAUUUUCUUUCUCUCAAACUUUUCGUAACCAACCAAAUAUAUCCUUAAUAAAUAGCAUGUAUUUAUCAUUUGCAGAAGUUUUCGUUUUUUCUUAGUAAAAAAUACUUACACGAAAAAAAAAAAAAAAAAAGUCUUAUUAAUGCUUGAUCAAAGAAAACAAAAGCCAAAAGUAUAAUUUUGAUUUUUCCUAACAAUUCUCAUAGAUGUAUCAAGUUCGGUUAAUUUUGAAAUUUGUAUUAAUGCUAUAUAAAAAAUUAAAGAUAUAAUCAUUUGAAGUGUAUCAUAUUAAUUAAUUAGAAGAUAAAAUUGUUUCUAAGUAGAGUAAAGGUAGAGUUAUUCACAAUAAUUAUAUAUAGAAAAAAGUGAAGAAGAUUGAUUUUAAAAUAUUUAAGAGAACUUUGUGCCAUUCCAUAUUCUUUUCAAAAUUAUUCUUUAAUAUAAAAUUUUCACAAAUACUUUUGACACCCACAUGGUCUUAAUACCAAAUUCAAGAUUGUAUCAUCUUAAGAUGGAUACACUUCCUAGUUUUGAAAAUUAAUCUAAUUACUUAACAAACUUUCAUUCCAAGUUACUUACUAUUUUCACAAAGUACAAAAAAAAAAAAAACAAAAACAAAAAACAAACCAAGACCUAAGACUUGUGCUUCUUAUGAUCAUGAUGGCUUGAGGUUGAACAAGCUCAUCAAAAUUUAGAAAAUUAGACCAAGCAUGACCUCAUGAUCAAAUGUUGCAAUAUUGGCCAAUAAUUAUGUCCAAUCUUCUACAACUCUAAGCAUAGAUUAGAAAGCAACCAUGGCAAGGGGUUUGAUGGCAGUGGGUGGUGGAGAGGCUGUGUGCAUGGUGGCUUCAAGCUCUAGGGCUCUCUUUUUGCUUUGCUUUGUCGUUAUAUCAUUCCCAAUUACAGCCAUGGUGGUAUUUGCUUGCGGUGAUUGUUCUAAUUCUCAAGACAAAGAAAACACGAAAUGUAGUACUUGGAGGAGCAAGUACUUGUGGAGGUUGCUAAAGAAAAAGCCAAAUAGUUUUUAACUCAUAAUAUCGUAUAAAUGUCAUGGAAUGACCUCCAUAAAAUAAAUGUCAAAAUGAUAAACUUAUAAAAAAUAUUUCAAAAAGAAAAAAAAAAAUCAUAUAUUCAACUUGAUUCAUUGUUAGAGUCUUUGUCAUCAUAUAAUCAAUAGCAUAUAUAUGAUGUCUUAUUUUCCUACUUCCUUUUAUAAGUAACAUGAAUGUAAAAGAAGUUUUUUUUCUUUUCUUUUCUUUUCUUUUCUUCCAAUAAUAAAGAUUAUUUAGAGACAUCCAUGGAAAUUAGAGAAGAUAAAAUAAGAUGAUGAUUCAAAAGAAGGUAUAAAAAUAAUUUAUCAGUUUUAAAUAUUUUUUCUUUUAUUUUCUUCUAAUUUUCAUCUUUAUUUUCUUUAUCUCAUAUAUUUCCAUAAACUUUUUAAAGUCUAAAUCUAAUAGGACGAAUAGUACUAUAUGUACUAGAUAAUCAACUUCAACCAUGAAGUUACAAAAAGGACCCUAUGCUAUUUUUCUAGGUACCAGGCCAUUACCAGCCAACAUGUUGGGCCGGCACGGUCCACUUAAAAAUUAUGUCGGGUCGAGCCAGCCUAUGCAAGCUAAAUAGGUGAUCCGACACGGUCCAUAAGCCAACGGCCCAUGGCCCAUGGGUCACUCACUUUGUUAAAAUUUGUAUUUUAAUUUUUUUAAGUCAUUUUGUCUUAAGUCUUUUUCAUUAUUAAAUGAAAUUUCUUUUUAUUACUCUAAACAUCUCUAAUAAUUAUAUUAUAUAUAUAUAUAUAUACCUCUAAUAAUUAUAAUUUUUUUUAUUUAUAUUUAUCGAAUUUGUAAUUGUAAAAUUUAUAGAAAUGUUAGUUUUUUGUUUUUAAAAAUAGUACAAAAAUUAUAUUUGAAUUUAUUUAUUUUUUAAUCAAAAUAACAAUAAAUUUAAAAUAAUGUAAUAUAAAAGGAAAUUAAGUAUAAAAAAUAAUUCUUUUAUUCAAUAUUUCAACAAAUUACAUAAAAAAAUAAUAAUAAGGAGACGAGUCGGCACGAUGACAGGAAAGACUUUUUCCUUAGGCCCAACAUGACCAACUCCUUUGGGUUGUACCAACCCGGGCCUAUACAAUAAUUGGGUCGUGCUCGCCAGGUCCGGUCUUUUGGUGUGCCAAGACACGAGCCAAAAUGGGCGGCCAGAUCCAUUGAACACCUCUAUUUUCUAAGCCACUAGUUAUAAUAUGAAUAUGUCAAGAUCACCAAGUCUUAUUCAUUGAAGCUUCUAAUAAGGUUCAAAAUAAUAAGGGCCUCUAUCUUGGGGAUUAGAGAAGACCACUCUAAGUGUAAGCUUGAGUAGAAGACUUUCAAUUGUUCAAAAUUGUGAAAACUACAACAACCAUGGCCUCAUUAAAUGUUAAAUUAGUCUAUCGAUGUGACCGAUCUUCUAUGGCUAUAACCAAGGAUUAAAAUUUCAACAAUAUUGUCAAAAAAUGGACCGUCAACAUGAUAUAUGGGAGGAAAGGGUAUUUUGAAUAAGAAAACAAAAAAAAAUAGUAAUUUUAAAAAUUGUUUCUUAAAAUGUGAUAAUUCAAAAAAAAAUUUCAAAAUCUACCAUACUUUAAAGAAAUCUAUAUAUAUAUAUAUGAAAAGAGAUUACAAAGUAAAAUACUUAUAAAUUCAAUUAAAAAGUAAUCACAAUCAUCUUCAAAAUCAAACUUUAUAAUAUCUUAAAGAAAAUUUGAUUAUCAAAUGAUCGAUUUUAUAUUAUAAAUACAUUUCUUAAUUAAAUAAAUAGUUUUUAUUUUAAAAAUAUAUUAAAAAUAAUUAUAUAAAUAUAAAGAAUGAUUAAAAAUAAAAAAACUUCAUAAAAAAUUGUUUUAAAAAUAUUUUUUUAAAAAAAAAACAAGUUAAAAUUAUUUCAAGUUCCAAAAAGACAUUCAUUCUACGGAAGAUUAAAGAAAAGUUUUCAAAAACUAGUUGUUAAAAUUGAUUUUUUAAAACAGUAAUGAAAUAAAUUCGUUAUAUUUUGCUCACCUGCCUCACAUUUCCGGCUUUGCCGCCAAUCUAAGAAAGCUGACUGCCAGAAAUGGUGCCAUCUUCCUUCAGAACCUGGAGUUCCCAUGCACCACUCGUUUGGUCUAUUUCCCCAACCCACCAUGGGAUCUUCAUCUGGCUUUCACCAUGGUUCCGGGUCAGGCCAACCCUUGGAAGCCAUAUAAAAAAUAAAUAGAGAAAAAGAGUACAAAGAAAAAAAAUAAAUAAAAAUCUAAGUUAUUUCAAAUUCAUUAUACAUACUUAUUUUUAAAAAAUUUAUGUAAAAAUUAAGUCAUUUAAAAAUACAUCAAUUUUAAUUAAUUUUAAUUACAUUUUAUUUAAUUUUAUAAUAGUUUAUAGUGAAACCAAAUACGAGAAUAUUUUUAUAUAUAAGUUUUCUUUUUCUUUCUUUAGAUGUACUUUUUAGUAAAAAUGAAAAUAUUGGUAAUUAUAAAUAUAUCGAUACUUCAAUUUUAUGGAUAUAUCGAAAAUAUAUUGGUGGAUAGUUUGAAAAAAAAUAUUAAUAAGAUUAAAAUGGAUCAAAACUCGUGAAAAUAUAAAAACUAAUGUCAUAGAAAUGUAAUUAGAAGUAUAAUAGAUAUUUUAAAUUUCUUUUUUUUUUUAAGAAUUUAAUAUAUGUACUAUACAAUUUAUCAUAUUUGAUAAUAAUAUCAUAUACAUCUUAUAAGUGUAUAUUUAUUAUUAAAUUAUAUCAAAUAUUAUUUGACAAUAAUAUUGUGAUUUUUAAUUAUAAUAUGUCUAAUUUUAAAAUAUAUUUAAUGUUAAAAUUAUGAUCAAUUUAAUUCAAUUAUAUUAUAAAAUAAAUUAUGAAAUAUGUAUAAAAAAAUUUUAAUAUUUAUAUUUUUUAUAUUUAAUUAAUAUAUAAAUUAUAUAAAAAUUAAGAAAAUUAUUAUCAUAAUUUUUAUAUUUUUAGUAAUCAAUUAAAUUAAAUUUAAAAAUAAAAUAAUUAGAAUUAAUUUAUUUAUUAAAAUAUUUUAUUUUUAUCCCUUCUAGUGCAUGGUUAUAUAAUAUAAGGCAAGUUAACCCAAUCCCUACAAGUCAAAAUUUAAAAUUUUUCAUUUGACUGCCAGCCCACCCUGGUGAAAACACCCUUUUAUAGGGUUUUUUUUUUUCUAGGCAAGAAUUAUAUUUUCUUUGGGAAUUUCACCCCUCCCACAUUUCGCCACCCGAUUUUGUCACCGAAAUGUAAUAUUUUAGCGAAAUUUCACCGAAAUUUUUCAAAAUUUUCAUCGUUGCUUUCUAGAACCAAAAGUGAGGAUAUGAGAGGAAAAAAAAAUGAAUUUUUAUUUUAGGGAGAAUGUAUGUUGAGGUUAAUUGGCCUGAUAAUUUUCUAAGGUCUUCUUAACUUAUAAUUGAACUUAAAACUUAAUAAUAAAGUAAAAAUUAAGAUAAAUAAUAUUACAUUUCAAAAAUCCCUAAAAUGCCCUUGAUGGUCAAAUAAAAAGACUAAUUAGUCACCCUCACCUCUUUUAUUCUCUCUUUUAUUCCCUUUCUCUCUCUCUUUUCACCUCACCCUUCUUUCACCUAUUUAUUAGUAGAACCAAGUUGAAUGAUUUUUCAAUCAUUUUUCUCCAAUAAAUUGAAUAUUAGAGAUAAAUGUUUAAAAAUAAUUAUUGUCAAAUACAUUUUUGAAGUAAAUAUUUUUUAAACAUCUAAUUUUUUUUUCAAAUUUACAUAAUAUAUAAUAAAUAUAUUUUAAAUACCAGAGAAAAUAUUUUUCAAAUACCUUGGAUACUUAUAUAAUAUAUAAUAAAUAUUAUCCUCUAUUUUAAACUUAUGUUAUUUGUCAUAUAAAUUAAAUAAUUUUUAAACACCUCAAAAAAUAUUGUUAUUCUUUGUUUGUUUUAACUUACAAAUUAGAUAUCAUAAAAUAUUAUUAUUUUUUUCAAACUUAUAAAAUAUAUAAUCAAUAUUUUUUAAAAUACCUUAGAUUUUUUUUUUCUUACUUACAAAAUAAUAAACAUGUUCUACACGAUUUCUCAUAUAUACUAAACAACUUUUAAACACCUCAUAAAAUAUUAUUACUCUUUUUUUUCUAACUAGCAAAUUAGACACAUUGUAUUUAUUAUUUCUCAUAUUAUUACGAAAAUAAUAUAAACACUCACACUAUUCAAGAUAUUCAAAAUUUGUACAUUCCGAAAGUACCUAAUUACCCCCACACUAAUCCUAAAUAUUUUAAAAUAAAGAUUUAAAUAUUUAAAACCAUUAAAAUAAAUAUAUUCCUAUUAAAGCAAUUUUUUUAAAGUAAUAAAACAAAAAUCAUGAAAUCUUCAAAACUAGAAUUACAACAAAAUAUUUAAAUUUUAAAAUUAAUUCAAUAAUUUAAAUUAAUGAUUUUAAAAAAUAGAAAUGUUACAAAAAUAAUUUUUAGUUAUUUUUAAUUCCAUUUAAAUAUGAUUUUUUAAUCUCUAUUGAUAACGACGAAAUUAUGUUUAUAAAGGAAAAAUAGUAAAAAUAUAUAUUUUAUUUCCUAUAUUAUAAUUUUGGUAGGAAGAUCUUAAUAGCAUAGUUUGGUAAACAAAAAAAAAUAUUGGGGACCUCGCAUUUCGGCUAAAUGCGUUUUCCACUUGAAUGACAAGCUCGAUUUUUAUUUGAAAAAUGAUUUAUUAUUGAUUAAAACAAUGACUUGGAGUCGCCACUUAUUUUUAUUUUAUUUUUAAAAGGGUAAAAAAAUAAGAAAAAAAAACCCUAAGUGUGACUCCUUAUUUUUGAAAAAAGUGGUCUGUGAAAAACUGGAUCGGGUUCGGAGGUCAGGUUACUUAUCGGGAAGGUACGGUAUGAACCGUAACACCCCUCUAAGUCCCUAAAGUAGGGUCUCUAUUGAUAAAAUGAAGCUGACGUGAUAGUCAAUAAGAAGGUCAAUGGAUACUCACGUCAAUCAUGCAUAUAUGAGGAUCAUGAUACGUACAGUGAAUGAUCAGAAUGAGUGAAUGCGUACUUGGGCGGCAAACAGCAACGUGCUUUCAUGAAAUGGGGUUAGUGAAUAAACAUAGAAUGAUCACAUGUAUGUUAAGAAAUAGAGUAAAUCAAUCACGCAUGUCAAAUAAAUAAAUAAAUAAAUCAAUCAAUUAGUCAUAAAAUCUCAUAUGUGGGGUCCUCCCCACCAAAACCCAUUCAUUUUUGCAUGAAUUAAUUCCAUAAACCCCAUUAUUUAGAAUUACAGAAUUGGUACUUGCUUAUUUUAAAACAUUUUGAAAAUAAAAGGAGUCGUGAAAAUUGUUUGCCAGAAGGGAAAAUGGCAACAAAAUUUUAUGGAAAAUGGGAUUUUUGAAACUUAAAGAAACUCUAAGAAUAACAUAUGAGAGAGUUGAAACUAUUUGAAAGCCAAAAUUCGAAAAGUUAUUUACAAAAUGAUGUUUGGGGAAGAUUAUUUUCAAAAUCAAAGAAUAAUGAGCAAUGGCAAAAAGUUAGAUGGGGUAAAGGUGACUAUUCAGUCUAUGCAUAAGUGGAAAAGAUGAAGAAUGAUGACCACGUAGGUGUGAAUCUCAGAGAGUUGUUAUGUUGAGUGUACCAAUAGUUCAUCUUCAACUGAAUUGCGUGUGCUUUCUACACUAACCGGCCAUGCACAUGCUUCACUACCCCAACUAACGCACCCAUCAUGAAGUACACUUGUUUGAGUUCCGUGACUCCCAGAAGCCUAAGGUGGAUUAGCUUUCCAUACUGCACGCUCAUACCCAGAAAUCCUAUAAAUACCGCCAUGACCAAUCCUCAUAUAGCCAUUUCACCCAUCCCACAAGGUUGUAAUAAUCUGGACAGUGUAAGCACAUCAUUCAUAACAUCACAAAGAGGAUCAACUACUGGAUGAACAGUGAAGUCAUUGAGAUGUUCCAUUAUAUAAUCCUCACUUCUUGGAGAUGCACUAGGUUUGCCACUGAGCAGUCUCUUUGUACUCCUACAGGAAUAUGAACGGAAGUACCUUUUUCGAAAUUUGGGUGAAAAUGUGCAUAAAAACUCCAAAAAGGGACUGUAUCUUUCUUCUCCUCUUUCUCAGAACAGUCCUUCUAGUUCUAGCAAAUUCUUUAACGCCAAACUAACUUAGGUUUCCCACAUGAUUUCUGACCGUUUACUUGGAUUUGCAAUGGGAUCUUGCGCCUUGUCCUCAUUUAAACCCACGGCAGAGAACCUAACAAUGAAAGCUGUCUUGAUCAUUAUGAUAGGGAUUCCCAUGCUGAAGCUGAAACUAUUACCAAGUAAACCUUCGGGGUAACUGAUGGCGCGUCUUGAGGCUGAUCGUUGCCUGCAAUUCUGACGGAUUCCAUUGCUGAGAUGAAUGUUCAUUGCUCAUGCCAUACUUGAUUCAAUCAUAAUUAGUGACAAGGAGUUCCAGAUUUCUAUUUGCGCACUUAGGUUUGAUGCGGACAUGAUGCUUCCUUGAUACAAGUGAUUUCUAAAACCGCGGCAGAGAUAUUCCCUUCACAGAGGCUGAGAGUGGGAUUGAGGAUGCAUUGGUGCCAAGCAUCAUGACACCAGAGAAAACCAAACAAGUGGUUGUCCGUGUCUUACAGGCAUGACAGUGUAGAACAAGUGGAAACUGAGGAUUCCUGUUGAAAGGGUUGCACCAACUUUUAAAACAAUAUGAGAUGGGUAAAAAGAUUAAUGAUUUUUCAUGGCUUGCGACAUGAAUCUCUCCACAACUGCUUUCCUUUCCAUUAACUCAUCUGACACUUGAUGAUUUGCAGACCCGCCCUUGCUAAACUACCCACUGCUUCCGCUCCAAAUCAAUGUGUGUUCCCUUGCGUUCUCCACGUGUCAGCCUCGAAUGGAACCCAUUGAUAUCCUAUUUUCAGUCAAACCAAGCUGAAUAACCCCCUUUGUAAUGCUCAGUUCAUCAUAAGGACUUUCCGAAACCUCCUUCAAUUCUCCACUUUGCUAUAUUUCUCAUUACAAUGUCUAUCCCAUCAAUGAAUACAUUCCUUAUAUAAAGUUGUGAUGUAACCGAACUAUCAGGCUUGGGGGCCUCGGACCAGUGGACUUAGAGAUGCCACCUCUGCCACUUUCAGGUCCAAUUUAUUUCGCCUCAUUUCAAUCAGAAGUUUAAAUUUCAUGAUCUCUUACGUGACUUUCUUGUAUCGUGUUCAUCCUAGCUUCAGCCAUCACGGCGAGAGUGCCAAAAUCAGAUUCUUCAACGUGCCAACCAAACAAGAGAAACUUCCAGUUGGCGAUGCAUGAAACAACCCAGAUCUCUUAAUUUUCUUUGACUGUGGGGUCCAAAAAUAACAAGCUUUCCCUGCUUUAGACUUCCGUCGCAUCGACCAACGAGACUAAUUCAUGAGAUGGGCAUGGUAUGAUGAAACAUGGAGAGUGAUGAAUUUGAGUGGUUUUAGGUGGUGCUAUAGAGAGAGUAUGUGAGGGUGAUGAUUUGCAUGGGAUUGGUAACAUAGGGGAGAGAGAAGAGGUGGUGAUGGUGUACGGGUUGGGUAUGAAGGCUUUAAUGGGUGUGAGCAAAUUGACACGGUGAUGAGCGUGUUAGGGGUAUGAGAGAAAGGUGCGGAUUAUGAUUAAUGGAAUGGGCGGUAAAAGCUGAUGAGAGAAGUGAAUUUUCUGGUGGAGUACGCGGCUGAAUUGAAAGAAAUGGGUUGGAAAAUGGGGCGCCUAAGAUAGUCAUGCAUGCACAUGCAUCUGGGGAAAGAUGAUAAGGAGUUGGUAUUUUCUAAAAAAAAAUGGGGCGCCAGUGCUACUGUCACUGGCGCGGAGCAACACACUCCAUGCUUGAUAUGGUUCCUCGCCGAGAUUGAUCUGCUGUUAAUCAAGCUCCCAUGAAGUCCCGCUACCCCAUAUAAUAGAUGUCCAAUUCUCUGGGGGAAGGCAUCCAAUAAUGACCACCCAAAACACUGGACGAGGCACCCAUAAAAUGCAUUGAAGAUUUUCCAUGUUGGCUUAAUGAGGUAAAAGGCCAGUCGAAUACCAAUACUCUCACCUUCAACGAAAUUUUGAAUGAACAUCAUGCUGCUCUCCUUAGUAACUGAUGCACUCAAAAGCUACCAUUGUGCCGAUCUGCUUUCUAAAGAAUGACCAAUGUUUUCUCUGCUUCCUCGGUAUUAUUCACUUGUGACAUUUCUCUGAUUCCUCUUAUUGCUUUAUCAAAGUCUUUGUUUGUAACAUAAUGAUCCAGAGACCUCCCCCAUCGUUCACCCUUGCAUUGAUCAAGCUCUUAUCAAAAGACCAUACGUUAAAUUUAAAUAUCACUUGUAAUCCAAAUGGAUACACAGAACAUUAUUCGGGAGUCCACCUCUUCCCUUAUUGUUUUGAUCCAAACAAACCCCAAACUCGGUGAAGAGAAAACAGUUGGAAACAGGAUGUGUGAUGAUGAGACUCAAAUCAGAGUGAUCCUGAGUGAAAUUCCACCAUUCUUAUGGAAAAGCAUUUUCGAGAAGCUACUAAAACUGCUCUCCUUCUUCACGAGCCCAGAUACUAAAUUGUGGCAACGUCAAAGACAUUAUCUCACUACAUGAGCAGGAGCUCACAAAUGGUGAUAUACGGAUAAAGGCAUUCUACGACCAGAAACACAGGAGUAGAGAAGUACAUAGAAUGAAAUGGCUAAAAAUAGAGCAAAAAUGAGAGACCCGAGUUAUUAGGCAGAGCCUAGUUUCUGGAAUGAUAAGCGAGAUCAAAAUAGGUGGGACACGUGGGAAAACUUCAAUAUGACUAUCAAGCAUCAAACCCAAACCUAAAGAGGGAUCUCACCAUUUACAGAGGGGAAAACAAGAGUAUGAGAGGAGGAUAAAACAGAGCAUAUAGGAGCAGAAAAUCACAUUCAACCAAAGCAAACCUGUGGCCCUUGAACGUCCACAGCAAAUUACAAAUAGAUAUUCGUUAGAUUAGCAGAGAAUGAAGUGGGAUUUUAAGAAAUGAAAACGCACCAGAUUCAAAGUGAUGCUUCUGAUGGCUCCACAGCACAAACUUCUCCUCCUCAGCUUGCAAGCUUUCUCUUAGAAACUCUCUGUGUAGCUUGCUUCCCCAACUAAUCUCGCUUCUCCAGGAAACCCACACCUCCAAAAAUACUUCCUGCUCUAGCUUGAGGACCCUCCCUAAAAUUCUGCCAGCCUCCAGAAAAAUAUCUACUAGUUCUCCCCAACAAUAAUGGAUAUCCCUUACUCUUCCCAAAAUCUCUUCCUCCACUCACUGCAAAUCCCCUGAAGAAGCACCAACCCUCAAAAAAAAAAUUUUCCCCUGAAAACCGCCAAGACCCCUCUGCAGCUUCAGAAUAUCCCCCUCAAUGCAGCUGCCUCACCUCUCUCUAAAAUAUCUCCUAACCGUUUGCAGCUUUUUCUGAUUCUUUUCUUGCCACGUGUCGACCUCUGGUUGGCCAUCAAAAGCACCACUCGGUGCCCUGAAAACCAACCAGAAAUUGACACGUGGCCACCCUAGAUGGCGACACCUGUCAAGAAUCAGCUGCAAGAAUGACUCCCAAAAUGGGGGUCUCCAAAUAUACAUAUUGAUAAUCGUCCUAAUGACAAGCUUAUGUUGUUUACAAAUUGUACAAAACCUAUUAGAAGUCUUAUAUAUCCUUAUACAAUUAUUAUAUUUUAUCUUAUACAGUUAGUGCAACACCCUUAUACAUUGAUGCAAAUUUUAUAUACAUGCAUAAAUAAUGUAUCCACAUAGAUGUGUGAACCCUAUUUCCAAUAGUUUGGUUUAGAAAAGACAGGAAGACUUAAAGAACAAGUUUUUCUCCAAACAUCAUUAGUGAGAUAAAUAUUCGAAUUAUCAUAUACGAGUUAAAUAAAGUGUAUAAGAUAGGUAUGUGAUGAACAAAUAUGCAACAUGAGAGUAUAUAGUUUUUGGGUGAUAAGAAAAAUAAAACAAGAGGUUUAUAAGCGAUUAAAAUUCUAUAUAAAGGGUAGUCUUGUACACCACUUGUACACUUAGUAUAUUUCUCUUGUACAGUUAGUGCAAUACCCUUGGACAAUGACACACAUUUCAAAUCACUCCUAAGUUAUGUCUCUGUAUAGGUGUGUAAACCAUGUUUCCAAUAGUUUGUUUGAGAACUAAGAAAAACAUUACUAAAACUAAAAAAAUAAAAUAUGGAGUUACAAAAUAUGGAUGAUGAAAUUUAAACAUAAGAGUUGAAAUAAUAAUUAGGAAUUUGGGUGGGGAAAUUGUACAAUCUUUGGGUAACAAGAAAAAAUAGGGAGAUUUUUUCAGAAUCAGUUCAAAUCCUUAACAAAUGACAACCUUGUAUACUUGGUAUAUUUUCCUUAUACAGCUAAUAUAAUACCCUUGUAAGUGAUGCAAAUUUCAUAUCUUUCAUAAGUUAUGUGUCUACGUAGGUGUGCUAACCAUGUUUCCAAUAGUUUGUUUGAGAACCAAGAAAAAUAUUACUAAAACUACAAAAAUAAAAUAUGGAGUUACAAAAUAUGGAUGAUGAAAUUUAAACAUAAGAGUUGAAAUAAUAAUUAGGUGAGGGAAUUUGGGUGGGGAAAUUGUACAAUCUUUGGGUAACAAGAAAAAAUAGGGAGAUUUUUUCAGAAUCAAUUCAAAUCCUUAACAAAUGACAACCUUGUAUACUUGGUAUAUUUUCCUUAUACAGCUAAUGUAAUACCCUUGUAAGUGAUGUAAAUUUCAUAUAUUUCAUAAGUUAUGUGUCUACGUAGGUGUGCUAACCAUGUUUCCAAUGGUUUAGUUGAGAACCAAGAAAGAACAUUGCUAAAACUACAAAAACAAAAUAUGGAUAAUUAAAUUUAAAAAUAUGAGUUAAAACAAUUAUUGGGUGCAUGAGAGAAUUUGAGUGGGGAAAUUGCAUAAUCCUUGGGUAACAAGAAAAAAGAUUGAGAGUUUUUCAAAAUCACUUCAAAUCCUUAACAAAUGGCAUUAUUGUAUACGCUUAUAUAGUUAGUACAUCUGUCUUAUACAAUUGAUGCAACAGUCUUGUAUAGUGGUACAAAUUUCAUCUACAUACAUAAAUUAUGUGUCCACAUAGGAUGAGUGAACCAUUUUUUCAAUGAUUUGGUUAAGAAAAUGAUAAAAGACUAAAAAACAAAAUUUUUUCCCACACAACAUUAGUAAGAUAAGUAUUCGAAUUCUCAUAUGUAAGUUAUAUAAAGUGUACAAAAUGAAUGUGUGAUGGAGGAAUGUAUGGCAUGAGAGUGUGUAAUCCUUAAAUGACAAGGAAAAAAAAGUUGUCCAAAAUUGGUUGAAAUCUUUCACAAAUGAUAGCCUUGUACACCUCUUAUACAGUUAAUGUAACACCCUUGUAUAACGAUACAAAUCUCAUCCACAUGCAUAUUUUAUUUGUUUCUUCAUUUAUAUUGUUUGUAUUUCAUGGAAAACCACUUGAAGCAAAUAUGAUGAAAAUUAAUUUGAUGUGUGCAAGUCUGUAAACAAUGUUAGAACUAGUUUGAUAUAUAUUUAUAUAAAAUAAUAAAUAAAUAAUAAGAAAAAUGAAAGAUGAAAUUAGAUAAUAAAUUAUUUAUAAUUUUUUAUUCAAUUUUAAACUUUUUUAGAAAACAAAUAUUUUUAUUAUUGAAUGAGUGUGGACCCCGCAUUUUCACGUGCGUUCCCACUCGACGACAUGACUCGCUUUUUUAUUUGUUUAGUGAAAUUUUUGAUUUUUUAAAAAAGACUUGGAGCCACUACUUAUUUUUAUUUUAUUUUUGAAGGGAAAAAAAAAUAAAAAAGAAAAACCCUAAGUGUGACUCCUGAAGGAAAAAAAAAAUAAGUCUAUGAAAAACCGAGUCUAGGUUCGGGGGUCAAGUUACUUAUUGGGAAGGUACGGUGGUGAGUUGUAGCGUUCCUCUAAGCCCGUAUACAUACGGUCUCUACUAAACUAAUUGAGGGAAUGAUGACAAUUAACUAAUUAAUCAUGGAUACCAAAAUUAAUAACAUAAAUCAAUAUACACAAAAGUGAUAACAAAAUAAAAUGACAAGAAUAUACAAAAUAAAUGACAAUAGAAUUAUGCAAAAUAAAUGACAAUAGAAUUAUGCAAAUUAAUUUAUUGAACUAAUUAAAAAAAUAUUUGAAAAAAAUUAGUUUUCUAAAAAUUUCAAAGGAUUUUAUUAAAAACAAUUUUGGAUGGGUGAUUUCAAUUUAUUUAUUUACAAAACGUUUUCUUCGAGUGAUUUGAUUCGAUUUCAUAUGUAUUCAAUUUUCAAGAAAAGUUAUUUAAACUUAUUGUAUCAAAAGAAUUUAUUACAAAAUUUUAAUUUGGGCACAAAUAUUAUUUUUACUUGUUUUUACUAGAAAAUAAUGAAUUUUUACAAUUUUAUUUACAAAAGUAUUUUGAUUCAUUUUCAUUUAAAAAAAAUAAAAAUUAAAUUCUCUAUUUCUCAAAAUACUUUUAAUCUCAUUUUAAUUAAGGAAAAAAAGAAUUCAUUAAAAAAACAUUUUUUUUGGACAACUUUAUUAAAAAUUAAUUUUUGGGACAACAUUAUUUACAAAUCAAUUUUUGAACAAUUUUUAUUAAACAAAUAAAUUUUCAAUUCUAUACACAGUCAAUAAAUAUAUACAAACGAAUAUUUACAAGAACUAAUAAAAAUAAAACCAAAUAAAAGUAAGAAAUAAAAUAUGUGUCAAAAUAAACUUACAACAAGCUCCACGUGUCAUCAAUUCAUACUCAGCCAACAAGAUUGUAGAGCAGGCCAACAAACUCCCACGUGUCAUCAAUUCGUACUCAACCAACAAGAUUGCAGAGUAAGCCAAUGCAAAAACAAAAAUAACACAAAUAUAAAUAUCUAGAGAUUUGCAAAAUCCCAAACAAAUAUUCAAACCCAAAUUCCAAUUUCAAAUUAGUCCCAUAAAUUUUGUCAAUUACAAUGAGCCCAAAUUGCUAUAGGUCUUAACCCAAAACAUCCAAAUUAAUAACCAAAAAUAUAAACACAAUCAACCAAACCUAAAAUAGGAUAAAUUAAAAUAAAUUCUACUAGGCCUAAAUUUAAUAUACACCACAAUUGUCCCAUAUCCAAAUUAAAUAAUUCAAAUUGGUCAAACUCAUAUCAAAUAUUCAAAUAAUCCAAUAAAUCUCACUCACAUUCUAUGCCCAAAAUUCACAUCAAUUAACAAGACCACAUAAAAAAAAUAUGCAUGGUCAAAGGAAAUAAUAUUUCAAGCCCAAUCUAAUAAGCCUAAACAAAUAACAAAUUAACAAUAGACCAAAAUCUCAAUAAACAAUAUGCAAUUGAUAUGAUCCAAAUAUCCUAAAUUAAUCAUUAAAUGUAAUAUAACCAUAAAACCAAAUUAACAAAUUUCAAAUUAAUCCAUCAACAAUAAAUUAACUCAAAUUUCAUAUUAAUUAACAAAACUCAAACAUAAGCCCACAAACAAACAUAAAUUACACAAACCCAAUUUCAAUAUCAAUUACUAUUAAAAUCAAAACAAGAAUUUUUUUUAAAAAUAAUAAUAAUAAGGGUUUUACGGGAAAGUGAGGAAAUGGGAAAAUGAAAGAAAAUGGGGAGGGGUCACCGACUGGGAGUGGGCUCGUCGGCGGCAACUGGCUGGUGGUUUGUCGGCGGCAUUGAGAGAUAAUAAUAAUAAUAAUAAUAAUAAUAAUAAUAACAAUAAUAAUAAUAAUGAUAAUAAUAAUAAUAAUAAUAAUAAUAAUAAUAAUAAUAAUAAUAAUGAUAAUAAUAAUAAUAAUAAUAAUAAUAAUAAUAAUAAUAAUGAUAAUAAUGAUAAUAAUAAUAAUAAUAAUAAUAAUAAUAAUAAUAAUAAUAAAUCCAAAUAAUAGUGUUUGGAUCAAGAGAAAGUGAGGGAAAAUGAUGGAAAGAAAAAAAUGGGGGCCGGCCAGGAGAAAAAAUGGGAAACCAAAAAAAACGGGGGAGGGGAGUGUUGUGGGAAGAAGAAGAAGAAGAAAGAGAGGAAAAAAAAAUGGGGGGAUGAGCCGCAUAGGAAGAACUGGGCAGAGACUAGGACUAGAGAAAAAAUGAGGGGGCUGAAGUUGAUAGGGGCCCGCGGUGUGGGAAAAAGGGAAAAGUGGGGGGAAAAAUGGGGAGGGGGGACUGGACUAAAGGGAAUUGGGGGUGAAAGAGAGAAGAUUGGGGGAGUGGUAGGGCCCGUGGUGAGGGAUAGGAAAAGAGAGGAGAGAGAAGAGAGAAAAAUAAAAUAAUAAAAAUAAAAUAUAAUAAUAAUAAUAAUAAUAAUAAUAAUAAUAAUAAAAGUAAUGGCAAUAAAAUAAAAUAAAAUAAUAUACAAAAUAAUAAAAGCUAUUAAAUGGUGAGUGAGCCAAAAAAACACAUGUAAUUAGGAUUUGAAAUCUAAGCACAAAAUUGGGCUCGAAAUUAAUGUAAAAAUAAAAUUGGGACAAAUUUUGGGGUCUACAAAUAUACCCCUCUUUGGUAGAGUUCACAAGUAAAGUGAGUGAAUACACAAACGAAACGAAGUGAACUUUGCCGAAUAACAAGAAAGACCUCCAAAUUUGUCCCAAUAUGACAUGGGCUCUCUUAAACCAAAACAAGAACAAAGAGGCUCCAAAACCCUACAAAAAUAAAUGAGAAAAAAAUGACUCUGGGUCGUGAGUUCAAGUUUCUAAAUGGAUAGCUGAUCAAAACGCUUUCCGAUUCGUGGUGUCGGGUCGAGGCCACUCACAGGUGGCUAGAAUGAUGAAAAUGAAAUAUGUGAAUGAUAGGAACGACUCUAGGUCGUGAGCCCAGGGCUCGAAAUGCCAUGAAUGACUCUAGGUCAUGAUGCAACGAGUAACUUAGGGUUACAAUGAAUAGCCCAAGGCUAUGUGAACAACUUAGGGCUAUGAGCUCCAAGCUCUAUGAUUGAUCAGCUAGAAAGAGAAUGCGAAACGCAAACUCCAGGUCAUACCACUCAAGGGCAACCAAAUGAUGAAGGCUCAACUCAGGGCUAGAAAGACUCUGGGUCGUGAGCUCAAGGAUCUAAAUACCAAACUGUGGAGAGAUGGUGAUGAUGGCUUUAAACUCCAAGUUGGAGAUGCGGCUUUGAACGCAAAACUGUGAAGGGCUAGUGACUCUAAACGCCAAGUUGGAGGUGCGGCUCUGAACACCAAACUGAAGAUGAUGAAGGCUCCGAACGCCAUAAUUGAGAACUGACAUAUCUGAAUGUCAAACUGAGAAAGACGACUCUAAACGUCGUAACUGAGAAGCAAUGAUGACUCUGAACGUCGAGCUGUAAGGAGAAGGUGGCUCUGAAUGCCAAAACUGAGAACUGAUGGUGACUCUGAACGCCAAACUAAAAAGAGAUAGUGGCCUUGAACGCCCAAACUGAGAAGAGAUAGUGGCUCUGAACGCCAAACUAUGAACAUAACGACAACCUUGAAUGCCGGAACUAAGAAGCGAUGAUGACAGCUCUGAAAGCCAAACUGGAAAGAGACGACUCUGAACGCCAAACUGGAAAGGGACGACUCUGAACGCCAAACUGGAAAUGAAUGACUCUGAACGUCAUAACUGAGAAUGAUGAUGGCUCUGAAUGCCGAAAAUGAGAAACGAUGAUGGCUCUGAAAGCUGAAAAUGAGAAACGAUGAUGGCUCUGAACGCCAAGACUGAGAACGAUGACGACUCUAAACGCCAAAUUGAAGACGAAAGAUGGCUCUGAACGCCAAACUGAAAGGAGGUGGUGGCCUUGAACGCCAAACUGAAAGGAGGUUGUGGCCUUGAACACCAAACUGGAGAUGGUAGCUCCGAACGUCAAAACUGAGAACUGAGAUCUCUGAGUGUCAAACUAAAAAGGAUAAGCCUGAACGUCAAAACUAAGAAGCGAUGAUGGCUCUGAACACCGAAACUGGAAACAAACCACGGCUCUGAAUGCCAAAUUGAAGAUGUGACGUGAUGACUCUAAAGACUGAACCAAAAACGAACGACCACUCUAAACGCUGAACUGAAAGUGUGACCUGAUGACUUUGAAUGAUGAACUAAAACCAUGGCUCUGAAUGCCAAACUGAAGAUGCGGCUUUGAACGCCAAACUAAACAAUGGCUCUAAAUGCCAAACUAAAAACACGGCUCUAAAUAUCGAACUAAAACAAACAAUGGCUCUAAAUGCCGAAAUGAAGAUGCAACUCUAAACGUCAAACUGAAAGAGAUAUGGUGGAUCUGAAUGCCUAACUAAAGAAAGACAUGAUGACUCUGAACGUAUAUGACGGCUCUAAGCACCGAGCUAUAAAGAGAUGGUGGCUCUGAAUGUUCAAAUUGAGAAGAGAUUAUGGCUCUGAAUGCCAAACUGAAGAACAUGGUUCUAAACGCCAAACCAAAAAAUAAAAGAUAAAUAAAUAAAAAUAAAUAAAUAAAUAAUAAAAUAAUAAAAUAAAUAAAAUAAUAAUAAAUAAAUAAAUAAAUAAAAGGUGGUUGUGAAUGCCAUAACUGAGGAAGGAUGGUGGCUCUAAACAUCAAUCGAAAAAAAAAAAAAACAUGAUGACUCUGAAUGUCGAACUAAAGGCAAACGACGGCUUUGAACGCCAAACUGUGAACGAUGGCUUUGAGCGCUGAAAUUGAAAAGAGAUGGUGACUCUGAGAGUCGAAACUGAGAAGAGAUAGUGACUCUGAACGCCAAACUGUGAACAUGACGACGAUAGCUCUGAACGCCAGAAUUGAGAAAUGAUGAUGACUCUGAACGUCGAAACUGAGAAGCGAUGAUGGCUCUGAACGCCGAAACUGAGAAUGAUGAUGGCUCUAAACAUCGAAACUGAGAAUGAUGGUGGCUCUGAAUGCCAAACUGAGAAACGAUGAUGGCUCUGAACGUCGAACUAUGAAUGAUGAUGGCUCUGGACGUCGAAACUUAGAAGUGAUAGUGGCUCUGAACGCCAAACUGUGAGCAUGACGAUGGCUCUAAACGUCGAAUUGAGACUACAGCUCUGAACACCUAAUGGAAAAUGAACGAUGGCUCUAAACGUCGAAAUGAGACUACGGCUUUGAACUCCGAAACGAGACUACGACUCUUAAUGCCCAAUGGAAAAUGGACGAUGGCUUUGAACGCCGAAAUGAGACUACGGCUCUGAACGCCCAAUGAAAAAUGAACGAUGGCUCUGAACGCCAAAAUGAGACUAACACUAUGAAUGCCAAAGUAAAUAUGCGGCUCUGAACGCAAUGGAAAAUGAACAAUGGCUCUGAAAGCCGAAAUGAGACUACAGCUUUGAACGCCGAACUGAAAAGAGGUGGUGGCUUUGAACGCCAAACAAGAAAUAAACAAUGGCUCUGAACUCCAAAUGAAAAACAAACAAUGGCUCUGAAUGCCAAACUAAAGAUGCGGCUCUGAACGUUGAGAUGACAAUGCGACUCUGAACACCAAACUGAAGGUGUGGCUCUGAACGCCUAACUAAAAUGAACAACGGCUCUGAACGCCAAAUGAAAAAAGAGCAAUGGCUCUGAACGCCAAGUGGGGAAUGAAUCUAGAUGUCGAACAAAAGGCAAACAAUGGCUUUGAACGCCAAAUAGAAGAUGUGACUCCGAACGCCAAACGGAAAAAUGGACAACUACUUUGAACGCCAAACGAGAAAUUGAACGAUGGCUCUGAACGCCAAAAUGAAACUACGGCUCUAAACGCCAAAGUAAACUGGAUAACUAUGAACGUCAAGCUGAGAAUGAUGACUCUAAACGUCGUAACCGAGAAGAUAUGGUGGCUCUGAACGCUAGGUUGGAAAUGGACGACUCUGAACGUCGUAAUUGAGAAUGAAAUGUGGCUCUGAAAGCCAAACUGCAAGGAAAUGAUGAGAGAGGAAAUAUGCCCUAGUGUAGCGUGCUACUACAGCCCUCAGUCCACGGAAAUGGUCUGAAAGAGACUCCAUGAGUCUCAAAGGAUACUCUGUUAGCGAGUCGAAAUGGUCAAAUCGACUAUAAACAUAGUCUCGCAACCCACUUGACUAGAUCACGAUGCCUGACGAGAUGUCACAAUAAGUCGAACUUCUCUAACUCAAAAUACACUACUGAAGGAAAAUGUCGUCAUCUCAAACAAAUGAUCCACUAGAGAGUCUCAAGAGAAUAGUCUGUUGGGGUAACUACCACGAUCUCAUCAAAACAAUCUACUACAGGGUCACGAAUAGUGGGACAAUCACAACUUGAACGUCACGCUCCACUGAAAGCUCAUCUUGAUGAAAAUCAUAGGAAUAGUGAACAAUAGCGCAAAUACAAUAUCUCUCGGCCGAGUGAUGAAAACUGUAACAGAUCUGUGAGAAAACCAUCACCUCUACAACUAGAUGAAGGAAAUAUGCCCUAGUAUGGCAUCAUAUGUAUCCGGUCUAUCUUAAUAACCCAAGAAUAACUCCAUGGGAGGAUAUAUAAAAGAUCUGACAUGUAUCCCACUGAAAUGAUGAUGUGGGAUCCUAUGUGCCUGAGAUGACUCCAUCAAAAAAAUCACAACAAAAUCAGAAAGUGUGAGCUUGACAAAAUGACUCAAGGGAAGGUCCACCGAAGAGUCAUGACAAAAUGAAACCGAAUCACCCACCCGACGUGUAUCUCGCGACUAGGGAUGAUCAUGCAAAUCGCUGGGGAUCUAUAAAUCUCAAUUAAAAGGGGAAUAUGCCCCAGUAUGGCAUCAAAUAUGUGAUAAGUCAGAAAAAAUCGAAUGACAUUAAAGCAUCCAUCAUCAAGUGCGUGACCCUAGUCAUCUACGUCCAUAACAGAAUCAUGCUCACAAAUCCAAGAGGUGUCUCUUGGAAAGAAGCAUGAUGACAUCUGAAUGCUGAACAAUGCAAGCCUGGCCGAAUGGCUCCAGAGAGGCUCCACUGGGGGAUCGUGAUAAAAUAACGAACACGUCCUCGUCUCGGUGUGCAUCCCGUAAGUGGGAGUGAUCAUGUAGCUCCAUGAAGAUCUAUAACUCUCAACUGAAACGGAAAUAUGCCCCAGUAUGGCAUCAGAUAUAUGGUAGGUCGAAAAAUCAGCUAACAUGAAAUCAUCUAUCAUCAAAUGUGUAAUCCCAGUAAUCCAAAUCCGUAAUUGAAUCAGAUUGGGAGUGGGCUUGCCGGCGGUGACUGGCUGGUGGUUUGUCGGUGGCAUUGAGAGAUAAUAAUAAUAAUAAUAAUAAUAAUAAUAAUAAUAAUAAUAAUAAUAAUAAUAAUAAUAAUAAUAAUAAUAAUAAUAAUAGUGUUUGGAUCAAGAGAAAGUGAGGAAAAAUGAUGGAAAAAAAGAAAUGGGGGCCGGCCAGGAGAAAAAAUGGGAAACCAAAAAAAACGGGGGGAGAGUGUUGUGGGAAGAAGAAGAAAUGGAGGAAAAAAAUGGGGGGAUGAGCCGCGUGGGAAGAACUGGGCAGAGACUAGGGCUGGAGAAAAAAAUGAGGGGGUUGAAGUUGAUGGGAGCCUGCAGUGUAGGAAGAAGAGAAAAAUGGGGAGGGGGGGGCGGCCCAAAGGGAAUUGGGGAUGAAAGAGAGAAGAGUGGGGGAGUGGUGGGGCCCGCGAUGAGGGGUAGGAAGAGAGGAGAUAGGAAAAUGGGGGAGAGAGAAGGGGUGGUCGAUGGUGAGGGGUAGAAAGAGAGAGGAGAGAGGAGAGAGAAAAAAAUAGAAUAUAAUAAUAAUAAUAAUAAUAAUAAUAAAAAUAAAAAAUAAAAAUAAAAGUAAUGGUAAUAAAAUAAAGUAAAAUAAUAUACAAAAUAAUAAAAACUAUUAGAUGGUGAAUGGAUAAAAAAAACACAUGUAAUUGGGAUUUGAAAUCUAAGCCUAAAAUUGGGCUCGAAAUUAAUGUAAAAAUAAAAUUGAGACAAAUUUUGGGAUCUACAAUGAGUUUUAUAAUAAAAAUUUUAUUUUAUUUUAUUUUUAAAACACUUCUUUUGAAUUAAAUCCUUGAUACAAUAAAAUUAAAAUUAUAAAAUAUCUAUUUUAAUUUAUUUAUAAAAUUCACAUUUAAUAAAUUUAUUUUAAUAAUUUUAUAACUUUAUUAUUUCAUAUUUAUCCAUUUUAUAAAAUAAAGAUUUUUGCUAUUAAAUAAUUUUAUUAUGAAAUUUAUCUUUUUAAAAUCAAAUUUUUUAUCCUUAGUUCUUUCAUGUAAUAAAUAAAUAUUUUAAAUAAAAAAAUCUAUUUUAAUUUAUUUAUGAGAAUUACACUGAAUCAAAAUGCAUUUUUAAUUUAUUUAUAUUGAAAUUAAUUAUUUUAUUUUUAUGUCUAAUAUAAUUAAAUUAGAAUUCAAAAUAAACUCAACUUCCUUAGUUCAAAAGAAUUAACUUUUUAUUAAAUGAUUGAUGAAAAAACUAAAAAUUAUUAUUUUAUAUUUUAAAAUAAUAUUGAUAUAAAAUAAAAAUGAAGAUGAAAUUUAAUAAUACAUUAUUUUAAUUUAUUAUAAUAGUAUAAAAUAUCAUUACAUAAUCUCCCACUACUAAAUUGUUAUCUUCCGAAAUUCAAUAUAAAUACAAUUUUAUUUAGUUGUUGAUAAAAAAUAAAAAAAAUAAAAAAAAUAAAAAAGCCUCAAACAAGAAAGUAACAGCAAAUUCUUUUUUUUUUUUUUACACUCCACAUUAAAGGUCACAAUUAAAUAUAUAAAUUUAAGGGUCAAAAAUCUAUGUUUGAUGUACCACGUGGGACCAUAAAAUUCUCCUCAUAACAACUCUCCACUUUAUGUGUGAAGUGACCAAACAACUCUAAAGGGUAUUUUGGGCCUCUUUAGAGUUUAUAUCCUUCGUUAUAUGACUUAGAAGGACGAUCAGCCCAUUAUCAGUAAGUCAACCGCCAUUGUUUCUUCAUCGACUUGCCGACCUCUCAAACUUGAGAUUGAAAAAUCAGCUCACACAAGGCCUUGAAAAUUUCUUUGAAGCUUCGGAUUAGCAAGAUUUCUUAAGAGGACAAAGAAAACCUAUUCAAACCAUAAGCUUGAGUGAGCCACACGGCUUUGGAGUUGAGAAAAAUGAUCAAAAUUUUGAAAAUUACACCUAGCCUGACCUUAGCCUAUAAAUAUGUCCAAUCUUCUACAACUAUAGCAAAGAUUAGAAAGAAACGAUGGCAAGAGUUUUGAUGGCAAUAGGUGGUGGAGGGGAAGUGGGCAUGGUGGCUUCGAGCUCUGGGGCUCUCUUUUUGCUUUGCAUGGUCAUUAUGUCCCUCUCAAUUCUAUCCAUGGUCAUAUUUGCUUGCGGUGAAUCUUCUAGUACUCCACAUCCCAAGAAAAGACACCAUGGUGGAGGAGUCGACCAUGGUGGAGGAGUCGUCCACCAUGGUGGCAGUGGUUGUGGAGGGGGAGGUGGUGGCGGUGGUGGUUGUGGAGGUGGCGGUGGCGGUGGAGGUGGAGGUUGCUGAAGAAAAAGCAAAAUAGUUUUUACUCAAAAUAUCCUACAAAUGUCAUAGAAUGGCCUUUUUCUUAUGAAAUAAACCUCAAAAUUCUUGUCUUCAAUGUUAGAAUCCAUGUGAGCAAGUCCUAGUGAAGGUCGAUGUAUUUGUUGAUAUUUUCUUUGUAUUGAAGAUUAUUUAACAAUAUAUAUGAUGUCUUUUAUCUUGAUAUUUUCUUUGUAUUGAAGAUUAUUUAACAAUAUAUAUGAUGUCUUUUAUCUUCUGUUUCCUUUUUAUAAAUAGCAUGAAUGUAAAAGAGAUUUCAUCUUUUACAAAGUCCCUUUGACAACCACAUGGUCCAGUACCGUUAAAAACUGUGGCAGCUUGAUAAGAUGGAUGGACUUCCUAGUUUUGACAAUUAAUCAAUUUAACAAACCUUCAUC
rnacentral:lncRNA from 1 species